rnacentral:rRNA from 1 species
GAUGAACGCUGGCGGCGUGCCUAAUACAUGCAAGUCGAGCGGUAAGGCCUCUUCGGAGGUACACGAGCGGCGGACGGCUGAGUAACGCGUAGGAACGUACCCCAAAGUGAGGGAUAAGCACCAGAAAUGGUGUCUAAUACCGCAUGUGGUCUAAGGAUUAAAGCUUCGGCGCUUUGGGAACGGCCUGCGUUCGAUUAGCUAGUUGGUGAGGUAAAAGCUUACCAAGGCGACGAUCGAUAGCUGGUCUGAGAGGAUGAUCAGCCAGACUGGGACUGAGACACGGCCCAGACUCCUACGGGAGGCAGCAGUAGGGAAUUUUCCACAAUGGGCGAAAGCCUGAUGGAGCAACGCCGCGUGCAGGAUGAAUGCCUUCGGGUUGUAAACUGCUUUUAUAUGUGACGAUUAUGACGGUAGCAUAUGAAUAAGGAUCGGCUAACUCCGUGCCAGCCGCCGCAGUAA